CUCGCCUGCGUCGCCGGCGCCUCUCCCUAGCUCGUGUCGCCGGUGCCUCUCCCUUGCCCGCGUCGCCGGUGCCUCUCCAUUGGCUCCGUCGUCGGUGCCAAGAUCUCAUUUUUAUUCUCCGGUGGCUGAUUUCGAGUGCGUCGGCUCGAUCUGCAACGGCCUUCCUCCACUCCAACGCCGACGAUGCCAUGGAAGGGCCACCAUGACCAGGAGCAGGACGACGCCUUGGAAGGUUCACCGACAGGAGCAACUACGUACGGUCUGAUCUUCUCCACUGACAGGGAUAUCGACAUGGAGGUCCGCCAUGGAAGGCCUGGAGCUCGUCAUGGAGGGGCCCUCCUCUCUCUUCCCCUCCCUCUACUCUGUUGGUUGGUUGGACGAAAGACCACCGCUCGUCCGGCUCUCCUUCUUCCACCGUUGCUCCCCUCCCACCAUAGUGCCACAGACGCUAUGCCAAGCACGGAAGAUUCGGGGAGCCGCCUCGAUCCAGAGUACUCGCAAUCCAUUAUAGGGCAAUUCAAAUCCUGCCUCUGGAAGCAUUGGUUGACCUAUUGGCACAACCCAAAUUACAACCUUGUCAGAUUUUCCUUCACUUUGUUCACAGCCUUGCUGCUUGGCUCCAUCCUUUGGAAGAUUGGCACCAUUAUGGGUGGAUGCCAAUACUCUUAGAAUGGUCAUUGGAGCAAUAUACACAACAAUGAUGUUUGUCCCCAUCAACAACUGUGCAACCGUUCAACCAAUUGUUUUAAUCGAGAGAACAGUUUGUACAGAGAGAGGGCUGCUCCAUUGCUCAGCUACUUAUGCAGCGAGGGUACAGGUUGUUCUAGAUGGCUCUGUAGACAGUGAGAAUGAGGAGACUCAAACCCAUGAAGAUUCUAAUGAGGAAAUCGAUUAUGAUAAAUAACAACACAGAUCAUGUGUUGACCUGGCUCUGCUGGCCAAACAGGCAUGGCGUCUCCUUGAUAAUCCCGACUCAUUGUGUGCUACUAUUCUAAGGGCCAAGUAUUACCCUGAUGGUGAUUUGCUGAACUCCAAGCCAAAACAUGGUGCUUCCUUCACCUGGCAAAGCAUUAUGGCAGGCAUUACUACUCUCAAGCGUGGCUAUAUUUGGCGAGUGGGGGAUGGACAUAACAUCAAUAUCUGGGAAGAUGUUUGGAUGCCAAAUUAUGCCACUAGAAAGAUUAUGACCCCUAAGGGGGGACAUUUGUUAUUAAAAGUGGUUGAUUUGAUUGACCCGGCCUCCAAUAAUUGGGAUGAGGACCUGAUUAGACAAACUAUGUGGUCCAUUGACGCACAACGGUUUCUUUCAAUCCCAAUUUCGCAACAUAAUAUGACAAAUUUUAUUGCCUGGAGUUAUAUGAAAAAUGGUAUGUUUUCGAUACGGUCUGCUUACCAUGUGGAGUGGAAUUAUCAGUAUGGGAGUAAAUUAAAACAUUCCAACGGGAUGGGGCGAACCACACCUAAUCCUAUAUGGUGUCAGAUAUGGAAGUUAUCUUGUCCGGCAAAAGUCAAAAUCUUUUUAUGGCGGACACUACAUGGCACUCUUCCAUGUCGGGCAACACUGACUAAUAGACACAUGAAGGUCUCGCCUCUUUGUCCUUCCUGCUCUCAGGGUGUAGAAGAUACAAAGCACAUGCUUUUCCUAUGUAUAAAAUCAAAGGAUAUUUGAAAAA